rnacentral:rRNA from 1 species
UACAGAGGGUGCGAGCGUUGUCCGGAAUUACUGGGCGUAAAGGGCGCGUAGGCGGUUGGAUAAGUCAGCUGUGAAAACCACGGGCUUAACUCGUGGCCUGCAGUUGAGACUGUCUGGCUUGAGUGUGGGAGAGGAGAGUGGAAUUCCUGGUGUAGCGGUGAAAUGCGUAGAUAUCAGGAGGAACACCGGUGGCGAAGGCGGCUCUCUGGACCACAACUGACGCUGAGGCGCGAAAGCGUGGGGAGCAAACAGG